AAGACUAUAUUUUCAGGGAUCAUUUCUGUAGUUGAGUACUAGAGAAGUUUCUCUGGACAGGUAGAGCAUCAGAAACCAGGAGGACCUAUAGCAUCCUCUCUUAAGUGUGAAGCUGGCUCUUGAUGUUGCUUCAUUGCAACCUCCAUUUGCUGUUUGUUAUUAUUGUUCUCCUUGGAAGAGUAAAGGGGAAGGACACCAACUGAGUGCU
ensembl:snoRNA U3 Small nucleolar RNA U3